rnacentral:lncRNA from 1 species
GGAGAAGUAACUUUGUGGGCUCUAAAGGUGCAAAUGACUGAUAUUUUUCACUGACAUCUUUUAUCUUAAUUAGGUUGGUAUACUGCACGGGCAUUUCUGAUUAUGCAAUCAUUUUCUUGAGCUGAAUUAGCAUGUUUUACAUAUUUAUUCAUUAGGUCUUAUGUCCAUGAUAAAUUAAACUUUAUGGGUAAUCAAAACAUUAUUGCAUGAUAUAAUUACAGCUCUCCUGAAUUAGAGUUUAAGAAUGUGAUUGCCACACUCUACGUAACUUAAUGUCCCCUAAUGGCAUAGAUUAAUAGCAUUAUAAACUUUCUGGUCAUGUGCAGUUCAGGUCCGGGUUGAUUUACAGUCAGGUGACUUUUAAAGAGCUGACAGCCCUUGUGCUGAGAUUUUAUGAACAGCAUCGUUUCCCGGGGGAGUGUCCUCUGUAAUUUAGUGCUAAUCACUAAACCACUAGUAAUCAUGUGUGUACUAAGUUUAUUGUGCCAGUACUCUGAGAAGUUGUAUAUUUGUGACAGAGUAAAGUAGGUGCUUGAGUUCCCUUGGAAGUGAAAUAACAGUAAUGUUGAUAGGGCUUAGUAACCACACCCAGGGACAGAUUUUCAGUUUUUUUUCCCUUUUCUUAAAAAUAAAACAAAUGAUGCAUUCACACAAAGAGGUAUGCAUCUUGAGUGUUUAUAUAUAAUUUAAUUUAAACUCUACCAUUACAGCAGAUUGCUCUGGGAAGCCUUGGGCUGUGAACACUGGAAUUGCACCUGCUCCAUCCUUACCCCCCGGUGAUGUGCGUGGCCAGUUUGAAUGGACCAGGAACUGGACUUGGUGUCCAUUUUCCCCAGUAUUAGAGAUGGGUUUGUGGGGAUGACAGAAUUACAGACCGCUAGACUGACAAGUUCACUUCUCCCCACCCUCCCCUUUUACCAGGAGGCGAUGACUUGUGAUGAGAAAGGGCUGAUGGGAUUAGAAUCCAGUCUGUGUCCAUAAGACACAGUCAAGUCCACUGUUACACAGGAGUCAAACCGGUGACCUUGUGGAGGGGAACAACACCGAUUACUCGGUCCUGGCCCGGGGGACCAUGGCUUCCUAUGGAGCAGCCGCUCCUGCCUUCCCUUGGUACAGCAGAGAUGUGAAAAUCUAGCUCCAAGUCAGAUGUGUUUAGGAAACUUUGGGCUAACAAAGGGAAACAUUUGUUUCCUCGAGGCUGUGAGAGCUGUCAUUAAUGUGCUGAGCUGCACUGUGUCCUGAGCAGGAGCCUGCGGGGACUUGGCACAGAGCCUUGGUGCGUCCCACUGCACCUCCAGACCAGACCUCAGAGUCGGGGCCACUGCACCUCCAGACCAGACCUCAGAGUCGGGGCCACUGCACCUCCAGACCAGAUCGCAGAGUCGGGGCCACUGCACCUCCAGACCAGACCUCAGGAUCGGGGCCACUGCACCUCCAGACCAGAUCGCAGAGUCGGGGCCACCGCACCUCCAGACCAGACCGCAGGGUUGGGGCCACCGCACCUCCAGACCAGAUCACAGAGUCGGGGCCACUGCACCUCCAGACCAGACCGCAGGGUCGGGGCCACCGCACCUCCAGACCAGAACUCAGAGUCGGUGCUACCGCAGAGUCAGGGCCACUGCAUCUCCAGACCAGAUCGCAGAGUCAGGGAGCCAUCGUAUGGGGCUCCCCAUGAAGCGCUGCCUUCAGAUGGGGCAUCUGUGGAGGGACUUGUGUAAGUGGACUGUGUUUAGUGAGAGAGAGAAGCUGGUUUCUAAAAAGGAUUUUUUUGUUUUACUUUGGAAUAUUUUACUGUGGACCAAGGAGAAAUGAUUAUUGUGCUUUUGAUGGUCAGUGAUACAUAAGGAGAAUUGAAGUUACAGAGGGUGUUUUGGUACCUAGCAGAAAGAUUAUAAUUAACAAAAUGGACUGUUUGGCAUUUCUUUUUGUUAUUUUUCAUUUCUUUUUUAUGCUCAUACUCAUCAUCUAAGAUAACAGAGAAAUUCAAUCUACUACUCUCUUCAGAAUGCACUUAAGCAGCCUCUUUUAGAAAAGGAUAUAAUUUCCAUCUACUGGAAUUCCAUUUCAAAUAUAAACAAGACACCCCGGAGGGAAAGGAGUUACAGAUGCUGGUGAUUCUGACAGCAUUAACCAAUGGGAGUUGGUAAGUGUGGCUGUGAUCACUGUGACGUCAGAUUUUCCUUCCCUUCCCUGUUUCUUUUUCUUUCUUUUUUUUUUUUUUGAGACAUGGCCUUUCUGUCAUCCAGGCUGGAGUGCAGUGGUGCAAUCUCAGCUCACUGCAAUCUCUGCCUCCCAAGUUCAAGCGUCUCCUGCUUCAGCCUCCCGAGUAGCUGAAAUUACAGAUGCCCACCACCACACGCGGCUAUUUUGUAUUUAUAGUAGAGACAGGGUUUCACCACGUUGGCCAGGCUGGUCACGAACUCCUGACCUCAAGUGAUCCACCUGCCUCGGCCUCCCAAAGUGCUGGGAUUACAGGCAUGAGCCACCGUGCCCGGCCUCCCUUCCCUUUUUCUCCCCCCCCACAUCCUGUUUUCCUUCCCCUUCCCCUUCCUGUUUCCCUUCUCUCUUCGUGGUCUCCCUGUGCUGCCCAGGUUGCUCUCGAACUCAAGUGAUUCUCCCGCCUCAGCCUCAUAAGUAGCUGGUGCACACGGCUGUGCCCAGCUGAAGUGUCCACUGCUUAGGGAAAACAAACUCCUUCCGUGCAUAUGAUAAAAGUAGAUACAUUGUGGUAUCCGGACUCACCUCUUGUGAGUAGUGGGCAUCGUGUUUGUGGACAGAGUUUCUCCGUGUCGUGGCCAUUUCGAUUCGGAACUCGGGUGACCGCUGCUGUUCCCAGCCUCCUGGGCCGCUGCUUUACUGCGGUGGGGACUCUGGUGGUCUUGCUGCCCCCCCUGGCUAUUUUGCUUCAUGGCAGCACCUCUUCAGAGAAAGCAGAGGAAAAUUAACAAUGAAAACGGCUUUCCUUUUAGUUCUGGGAAAAAUAAUCUGUCAUAAAGAAGAUAAAACAUGGUUGUGUGGGAAUAAAUGAACGCCGGCCCCGUGAGCGCAGGCAGAGGCUGUUCCCUCCAAGCCCGCUCUGCAAGGGCCUGGGCGCCGUCCUGCCCGCGUGGCGAAGGCUCCUGGGGGCACGGGAGCAGGAGGCAUCAUGGAGAAGAGGGAAGCUCCGGGGUGCCGAGGGGGUGCUGUAGGCACGCGGAGCUGUAGGCCGGCUCGCCACAGUCAGGCCCUUGUGUGAUGGGUCAGGAGAGCACCGUUCUCUGAUGGGUCCGAAAUUGAAAGCGGUGGCUAAAAGGAGGGCAGCGGGAAGACACCGAUCAAGUCCUGAGCAUUUGGGGCCGAUUGCUGCAGAGGUCACAGUUUCUCCUCCUGGGCUGCAGACUGUGGGUCAGUAUUACAGUCUACCGUUGUUUAUAUCAUGUGGUUAAUAUCAAGCAUGCGAGCCUCCCUGUUUCCUGGGAACUGACGGGUACCCUCAAUGCUCCUGGUAGAUUGUUUAUAUACAAUCUACCAUUGUCCAUUUGUGUAUUCAGUCUCAUUUUGAAAAGUGGAAGUUUGAAUAAGGUGUGGCCGCUCCAUUCUACAUUUUUCUGACUCAAAAUGCAAAAGUUGAAGGCCUCAAUCCUGAAUCUGUGCUGUGAUACUGCUGUUACUUUACUGAGAUAAAACCUUCAAUGCCUUUCUACCAUAUCACACAUUUUUCUUUAACAGAAUUUAGGUUCCUGAUGGUGGCCUUGUGGGUUUGUGAAAAAAGCCUCAAAUUAAGGCAGAGGCCUGUGUGCUAAUCCUGACUCGCCCCUGACGUGCUCUCUGGUCUGGGUGAAGCAUUCCACUGCCUUGGGCCUGAGAUGGCUUUUAUUUUAAUUAAUUAAAUUAUUUGAG